rnacentral:rRNA from 1 species
AUUGAACGCUGGCGGCAGGCCUAACACCUGCAAGUCGAGCGAGCGGCGGACGGGUGCGUAAUGUCUGGGAAACUGCAUGAUGGAGGGGGAUAACUACUGGAAACGGUAGCUCAUACCGCAUACCAUCAGAUGUGCCCAGAUGGGGUUAGCUAGUAGGUUGGGUAAUGGCUCACCUAGGCGACGAUCCCUAGCUGGUCUGAGAGGAUGACCAGCCACACUGUAACUGCGACACGGUCCAGACUCCUACGGGAGGCCGCAGUGGGGAAUAUUGCACAAUGGGCGCACGCCUGAUGCAGCCAUGCCGCAUGUGUGAAGACGGCCUUCGGGUUGUAACGCACUUUCAGCGGGGAGGCGUUACCCGCAGAAGAAGCACCGGCUAACUCCGUGCCAGCAGCCGCGGUAAUUC